AUCGCUUCUAGUUUUCUAGCUAUGAUCAAAAGUGUAUGAACUGUUCUUCUUAAUCUCUGGGACCUUAACCGAUUCGGUUAAAAUUGAGAUUAAAUCGAUUUUGGCAAUCUGGUAGAAGCUUUAAGGCUUGCCUAGUUCUGCCGAAGUGGACCUUACAUUGCAUUACAGUUUGGUCUGCUUGUUUCA